AUGCGUACAGAAGUUAUCAAGGCAAACACCAUUGAUGAGGCUGUUGAAGGAAUUCUCGAUGAACUCAAGUAUACUAGAGGAAAAGAAAAUGUCAUAUACUUUGAUGGCUGGGACGGGCUGGGGGCAUCUGCUGUCCUGCGAGCCGUAGCCCAACAGAUCGAAUCAAAUGGAAAGAAAUGGCAGUUUGAGCAAGUCAUCCACAUCGACUGCUCAAAGUGGGAGAGCACAAGAGCACUUCAGAGGGAAGUCGCAAAGCAUCUGAAGCUUCCCAAUCAGGUGCUGGAGAUGUUUGACAAGCAAGACGAGGAGGAUGAUUUCAAUGGUAUCACUGAUCAACGAUCUCGGGCAGGGAUAACAGAGGUUGCAAUAGAGAUCCAGAGGAGCAUACAGGGCCGCAGGUUUUUGCUGGUUCUUCAGAAUGGAAGCAACGAGGAGAUUGACAUAUCUAGCCUUGGCCUUUCUGUAUAUGAAUAUUUGACCAACAAGGUGAUAUGGACCUUCCAAGGGAGGUUUCGGAUGGACCCCAAUAUGAAAGACAAGGCCAUGAAGAAGGAUACAACAGACGUUCUUCUCUCAGCUUCAUGCUAUGAGAAAAAUCCACAAGAUCACUGGUACUAUCUACUGCGUGAAGAGGCUACACUAGUUGCAUACAAGAAUAGCGUUGAUCCUGCAAUACUUGUUAAGUGCUUCUUGUAUAUGUUGACACUACAUUGCACCAGCCGCCAUUAUGUCGACAGCGAGUAUGAUUUGGCUACCCAUGCAUGCAACUAUUGGAUAUGUGAUGGAAUCAUACAGAAAGACACAGACAUUGCUGAAGCAUGGCAAGUUGGUGAGAGACUGCAAGGUGAUAUCCGAUGGAAUAUGGACUACCGCGACAAUGAAUUUCCCUCUCGCUUUCUAUGGUAUGCCGAGUGCGUACCACACUGGGCAUCACCAGCUCAUGGAUUUGUGCUGGUCCCUGAUGGAGUCGUUCCUAGCAGAACGUUCCAGCAUUUUGACAAGCUUGGCGUGAUGAAACUCUCAAGGUGUAGCUUCAGCUUUUCAUCACCUCCAUUUCUCUGCUGCCACAGCCUUAGAUUUUUAUGGCUUGACCACUGUCAAAACCUAGGAAAGAGAGAUGGGGCGCAAUUGGAAGAGGAGGACACUGCAAGGUUGUUGGCAUGCUUCCAAAGCUUAUGGGUGCUUGACCUGCGCUACACAGAUUUGAAUCUGAUCCUGUCCGCACAGGUGAUGGAUCUCAUGACCCAGCUCAGGGAGCUAAGCGUGAUGGGAGCCAAAAACUGGGACUUUAGCCAUUUACAAGGACGACUGCGUAACAUUCGCAAGCUCCGGUUAACAAAGUCCACUGGCUGGUCCAACACCAAUGUGUUCUCGGAUAUGGAAAGCAUGGAGCUUCUUGAUUUUUCAGUCAGUGGUUACAUGAGAAGCUUAUCUGGCUCAGCAAGCAACACUAACCUUGAGACUGUCAUUAUUGGUGCCUAUGACGAGUUAAAAAUCAUCUCUUUUAGGGACUGCAAAGAAUUGAAGAACAUAAUCUUGAAAGGAUCGUUGGGGAGUCUUGAAGAGCUGGACCUCUCAGGCACAGGAGUGAAAACACUCAACUUCCGGGAAGUGGUAGCCACCUCGCUCCCCAAGCAGAUCAUCCUGCUAGGCUGCGAGAAGCUCCGUGCAAUAUUGUGGCCUAAGACAUUUGAAGGGGAAGGGUGGUCUGGUUUGCUGCAUCUUGACACCACCUCAAUAUCAGCAUCAGCUGACGGAGGUGAAGCAUCACAUGCACAUCCUCAUAGCGAUCAAGCCCUCCAACAGCAGAAAGAAGAAAAGUUUAACGGUGGAUGGCGGAUUUCUCUUAUGGAUACAAGGCUCCUGAGGUCGCUUUCUCCUGUAAGAGAGUUUUUAAGGGCCACAUCCGUACAUAUUGAUAUCUGUUCUGCAGCUACUGUUGGUGGUUGCAACAUCCAAGGAACAAGCAGCAACAAACUACUGCAAGUCCAACCGCACACAAGGACUAUGAUGGACUCCAUGUAUGGAUAUGUCUUGAAGGAUGGUGGCCCAGUUGGAGUGAAGGUGAUGUGGGACUGCCCUAAGAUAUUUCUUUAUUGGGACGAACCAAAGACAUGUAUGAUAAAGAUCAUUCAUGGACCGGGCAACAAACUUUUGGAGGAUGCCCCAAGUGCUAGCACUAGUGCUUUAUUAUUGCCUGGUUUCAUAUGCAAGCAGAGUACAUCUGUGCAUGUCUAUGAUAACUUGUCCAUCACCAAUAUCCCUCCACCUCCCGACGGAUCAGGGUGGCAGAGUCAAAGAUGGUGCCGAGUCGAGAGGUGCCCCAAGCUACACACGGUCUUCAAUAUUCGGCAGGGCAGUGGUGCGUCCAGCUUUAGGCGUCUGGAGACAUUAUGGUUGUCCCAGCUUCUGACGGCACAGACAUUUACUACGUCAACUCUCACCUUUUGUAGCCUGGAGUUCUUGCACCUGGACUGCUGUCCCAGGCUCUUACAUGUGUUCACCUUGGCCAGCAGAAAUUCAGGGAGGUUCUUCUGUAGUUAUUUGCAGACCCUCGAGAUAGUGUACUGUGACGAUCUAAGGGAGGUCUUCCCUUUGGCCCCUGGGCCCCAGAAACAGGAUACAGUUAUAGAAUUUCCCUAUCUGAGGAGCAUCCACCUGCAUGAGGUCCCCAAGCUGCAGCACAUCUAUGGGUGCAGGAUGUGGGCACCUAUACUCGAGACCGUCAAGAUCCGAGGCUGUUGGAGCCUUAGGCGUCUGCCGUCCGUCGGCCGCGACACCAAGCCGCCCAAGGUGGACUGCGAGAAGGACUGGUGGGAUAACCUUGAGUGGGACGGGCUGAAUAAGUACCAUCACCCGUCCCUCUACGAGCCAAGCCACUCGCUGUACUACAAAACCGAUCUGCCCAGAGGCACCAUACUCAGGUAA
rnacentral:rRNA from 1 species